rnacentral:miRNA from 1 species
UUGUUUUGUAUAUGAAACAAUUUUAUUAUAAUACAAAAUCUGAACCAUUACAUAACUAUUUCACAACAUAUAUAUAUAUAUAUAUAUAUAUAUGUUGUGAAAUAGUUAUGUAAUGGUUCAGAUUUUGUAUUAUAAUAAAAUUGUUUCAUAUACAAAACAA